rnacentral:rRNA from 1 species
GAUGAACGCUAGCGGCAGGCCUAACACAUGCAAGUCGAGGGAGAGGUUAUCUUCGGGUAACCAAAACCGGCGCACGGGUGCGUAACGCGUAUACAAUCUGCCUUUCACAUAGGGAUAGCCCGAAGAAAUUUGGAUUAAUACCUAAUGAUAUAUAGGAGCGGCAUCGUUUUUAUAUUAAAGCUACGGUGGUGAAAGAUGAGUAUGCGUUCUAUUAGCUAGUUGGAGAGGUAACGGCUCCCCAAGGCGACGAUAGAUAGGGGUUCUGAGAGGGAUGUCCCCCACACUGGUACUGAGAUACGGACCAGACUCCUACGGGAGGCAGCAGUGAGGAAUAUUGGACAAUGGUCGGAAGACUGAUCCAGCCAUGCCGCGUGCAGGAUGAAGGUCCUAUGGAUUGUAAACUGCUUUUGUAAGGGAAGAAUAAGGAGUACGUGUACUUUGAUGACGGUACCUUACGAAUAAGCAUCGGCUAACUCCGUGCCAGCAGCCGCGGUAAUACGGAGGAUGCGAGCGUUAUCCGGAAUCAUUGGGUUUAAAGGGUCCGUAGGCGGGCUGAUAAGUCAGAGGUGAAAGCGCUUAGCUCAACUAAGCAACUGCCUUUGAAACUGUCAGUCUUGAAUGAUUGUGAAGUAGUUGGAAUGUGUAGUGUAGCGGUGAAAUGCUUAGAUAUUACACAGAACACCGAUAGCGAAGGCAUAUUACUAACAAUUUAUUGACGCUGAUGGACGAAAGCGUGGGGAGCGAACAGG